AGGACGAACGCUGGCGGCGUGCCUAACACAUGCAAGUCGAGCGAUGAAGUUCUUCGGAACGGAUUAGCGGCGGACGGGUGAGUAACGCGUGAGCAAUCUGCCUUACACAAAGGGAUAGCCUCGGGAAACUGGGAUUAAUACCAUAUGACACUUGGUAAUCGCAUGAGGACCAAGUCAAAGAUUUUAUCGGUGUAAGAUGAGCUCGCGUCUGAUUAGCUAGUUGGUGGGGUAAAGGCCUACCAAGGCGACGAUCAGUAGCCGGCCUGAGAGGGUGAACGGCCACACUGGAACUGAGACACGGUCCAGACUCCUACGGGAGGCAGCAGGUGGGGAAUAUUGCACAAUGGGCGCAAGCCUGAUGCAGCGACGCCGCGUGAGCGAAGUAAGGUUUUCGGAUACGUAAAGCUCUGUCCUCUGGGAAGAAAAAAAUGACGGUACCAGAGGAGGAAGCCCCGGCUAACUACGUG
rnacentral:rRNA from 1 species